rnacentral:rRNA from 1 species
UACGUAGGGUGCAAGCGUUAUCCGGAAUUAUUGGGCGUAAAGAGCUCGUAGGCGGUUUGUCGCGUCUGCUGUGAAAAACUGGAGGCUCAACCUCCAGCCUGCAGUGGGUACGGGCAAACUAGAGUGCGGUAGGGGAGAUUGGAAUUCCUGGUGUAGCGGUGGAAUGCGCAGAUAUCAGGAGGACACCGAUGGCGAAGGCAGAUCUC